rnacentral:rRNA from 1 species
GACUAUGGCCAUACCACCCUGAACAUGCCCGAUCUCAGAAGCUAUGCAGGGUUGGGCUUGAUUAGUACUUGGAUGGGAGAAAACAGACCCCUGACU